rnacentral:tRNA from 1 species
GCUCGCCACGGUGCUGGCCAACGCACAGCCGCUGAUGGCGGCUGCACUAGCGAUCGUGGUGCUUGGUGAGCG